UACAGAGGUCCCGAGCGUUGUUCGGAUUCACUGGGCGUAAAGGGUGCGUAGGUGGUGAGGUAAGUCGGAUGUGAAAUCUCCGGGCUCAACCCGGAAAUGGCAUUGGAAACUACCUUGCUUGAGGUUUUGAGGGGGGACUGGAAUUCUCGGUGUAGCAGUGAAAUGCGUAGAUAUCAAGUGGAACACCAGUGGCGAAGGCGAGUCCCUGGACAACUCCUGACACUGAGGCACGAAAGCUAGGGGAGCAAACAGG
rnacentral:rRNA from 1 species